rnacentral:rRNA from 1 species
GUAAGCUACUAAGAGCGAAUGGUGGAUGCCUUGACUGGUAAAGGCGAUGAAGGACGUACUAGACUGCGAUAAGCUACGGGGAGCUGUCAAGAAGCUUUGAUCCGUAGAUUUCCGAAUGGGGCAACCCAAUGUAUAGAGAUAUACAUUACCUAUAUAGGAGCGAACGAGGGGAAUUGAAACAUCUUAGUACCCUCAGGAAAAGAAAUCAAUAGAGAUUGCGUCAGUAGCGGCGAGCGAAAGCGCAAGAGGGCAAACCCAGUGCUUGCACUGGGGGUUGUAGGACUGCAAUGUGCAAGAGGUGAGUUUAGCAGAACAUUCUGGAAAGUAUAGCCAUAGAGGGUGAUAGUCCCGUAUGCGAAAAACAAACCUUAGCUAGCAGUAUCCUGAGUAGGGCGGGACACGAGAAAUCCUGUCUGAAGCUGGGUCGACCACGAUCCAACCCUAAAUACUAAUACCAGAUCGAUAGUGCACAAGUACCGUGAGGGAAAGGUGAAAAGAACUGAGGUGAUCAGAGUGAAAUAGAACCUGAAACCAUUUGCUUACAAUCAUUCAGAGCACUAUGUAGCAAUACAGUGUGAUGGACUGCCUUUUGCAUAAUGAGCCUGCGAGUUGUGGUGUCUGGCAAGGUUAAGCAAACGCGAAGCCGUAGCGAAAGCGAGUCUGAAUAGGGCGCUUAGUCAGAUGCUGCAGACCCGAAACGAAGUGAUCUAUCCAUGAGCAAGUUGAAGCUAGUGUAAGAACUAGUGGAGGACUGAACCCAUAGGCGUUGAAAAGCCCCGGGAUGACUUGUGGAUAGGGGUGAAAGGCCAAUCAAACUUCGUGAUAGCUGGUUCUCUCCGAAAUAUAUUUAGGUAUAGCGUUGUGUCGUAAUAUAAGGGGGUAGAGCACUGAAUGGGCUAGGGCAUACACCAAUGUACCAAACCCUAUCAAACUCCGAAUACCUUAUAUGUAAUCACAGCAGUCAGGCGGCGAGUGAUAAAAUCCGUCGUCAAGAGGGAAACAACCCAGACUACCAGCUAAGGUCCCUAAAUCUUACUUAAGUGGAAAACGAUGUGAAGUUACUUAAACAACCAGGAGGUUGGCUUAGAAGCAGCCAUCCUUUAAAGAAAGCGUAAUAGCUCACUGGUCUAGUGAUUUUGCGCGGAAAAUAUAACGGGGCUAAAGUAAGUACCGAAGCUGUAGACUUGACUUUGUCAAGUGGUAGGAGAGCGUUCUAUUUGCGUCGAAGGUAUACCGGUAAGGAGUGCUGGAGCGAAUAGAAGUGAGCAUGCAGGCAUGAGUAGCGAUAAUUAAUGUGAGAAUCAUUAACGCCGUAAACCCAAGGUUUCCUACGCGAUGCUCGUCAUCGUAGGGUUAGUCGGGUCCUAAGUCGAGUCCGAAAGGGGUAGACGAUGGCAAAUUGGUUAAUAUUCCAAUACCAACAUUAGUGUGCGAUGGAAGGACGCUUAGGGCUAAGGGGGCUAGCGGAUGGAAGUGCUAGUCUAAGGUCGUAGGUGCUUAUACAGGCAAAUCCGUAUAAGAAUACACCGAGAACUGAAAGGCUUUUUGAAGUCUUCGGAUGGAUAGAAGAACCCCUGAUGCCGUCGAGCCAAGAAAAGUUUCUAAGUUUAGCUAAUGUUGCCCGUACCGUAAACCGACACAGGUGGGUGGGAUGAGUAUUCUAAGGCGCGUGGAAGAACUCUCUUUAAGGAACUCUGCAAAAUAGCACCGUAUCUUCGGUAUAAGGUGUGGUUCGCUUCGUAUUAGGAUUUACUCCGAAAGCGAAGAAACUUACAACAAAGAGUCCCUCCCGACUGUUUACCAAAAACACAGCACUCUGCUAACUCGUAAGAGGAUGUAUAGGGUGUGACGCCUGCCCGGUGCUCGAAGGUUAAUUGAUGGGGUUAGCAUUAGUGAAGCUCUUGAUCGAAGCCCGAGUAAACGGCGGCCGUAACUAUAACGGUCCUAAGGUAGCGAAAUUCCUUGUCGGUUAAAUACCGACCUGCAUGAAUGGCGUAACGAGAUGGGAGCUGUCUCAAAGAGGGAUCCAGUGAAAUUGUAGUGGAGGUGAAAAUUCCUCCUACCCGCGGCAAGACGGAAAGACCCCGUGGACCUUUACUACAGCUUGACACUGCUAUUUGGAUAAGAAUGUGCAGGAUAGGUGGGAGGCUUUGAGUAUAUGACGCCAGUUGUAUAUGAGCCAUUGUUGAGAUACCACUCUUUCUUAUUUGGGUAGCUAACCAGCUUGAGUUAUCCUCAAGUGGGACAAUGUCUGGUGGGUAGUUUGACUGGGGCGGUCGCCUCCCAAAUAAUAACGGAGGCUUACAAAGGUUGGCUCAGAACGGUUGGAAAUCGUUCGUAGAGUAUAAAGGUAUAAGCCAGCUUAACUGCAAGACAUACAAGUCAAGCAGAGACGAAAGUCGGUCUUAGUGAUCCGGUGGUUCUGUGUGGAAGGGCCAUCGCUCAAAGGAUAAAAGGUACCCCGGGGAUAACAGGCUGAUCUCCCCCAAGAGCUCACAUCGACGGGGAGGUUUGGCACCUCGAUGUCGGCUCAUCGCAUCCUGGGGCUGGAGCAGGUCCCAAGGGUAUGGCUGUUCGCCAUUUAAAGCGGUACGCGAGCUGGGUUCAGAACGUCGUGAGACAGUUCGGUCCCUAUCUGCCGUGGGCGUAAGAAGAUUGAAGAGAUUUGACCCUAGUACGAGAGGACCGGGUUGAACAAACCACUGGUGUAGCUGUUGUUCUGCCAAGAGCAUCGCAGCGUAGCUAAGUUUGGAAAGGAUAAACGCUGAAAGCAUCUAAGCGUGAAGCCAACUCUAAGAUGAAUCUUCUCUAAGCUCUCUAGAAGACUACUAGUUUGAUAGGCUGGGUGUGUAAUGGAUGAAAGUCCUUUAGCUGACCAGUACUAAUAGAGCGUUUGGCUUAUCUUUA